rnacentral:rRNA from 1 species
GCCUUAACAUGCAGUCGAACGGUAACAGGUUAAGCUGACGAGUGGCGAACGGGUGAGUAAUAUAUCGGAACGUGCCCAGUUGUGGGGGAUAACUACUCGAAAGAGUAGCUAAUACCGCAUGAGACCUGAGGGUGAAAGCGGGGGAUCGCAAGACCUCGCGCAGUUGGAGCGGCCGAUAUCAGAUUAGCUAGUUGGCGGGGUAAAAGCCCACCAAGGCGACGAUCUGUAGCUGGUCUGAGAGGACGACCAGCCACACUGGGACUGAGACACGGCCCAAACUCCUACGGGAGGCAGCAGUGGGGAAUUUUGGACAAUGGACGAAAGUCUGAUCCAGCCAUGCCGCGUGUGGGAAGAAGGCCUUCGGGUUGUAAACCACUUUUGUCAGGGAAGAAACGGCUCGGGUUAAUACCUUGGGCUAAUGACGGUACCUGAAGAAUAAGCACCGGCUAACUACGUGCCAGCAGCCGCGGUAAUACGUAGGGUGCAAGCGUUAAUCGGAAUUACUGGGCGUAAAGCGUGCGCAGGCGGUUAUGCAAGACAGAUGUGAAAUCCCCGGGCUCAACCUGGGAACUGCAUUUGUGACUGCAUGGCUAGAGUACGGUAGAGGGGGAUGGAAUUCCGCGUGUAGCAGUGAAAUGCGUAGAUAUGCGGAGGAACACCGAUGGCGAAGGCAAUCCCCUGGACCUGUACUGACGCUCAUGCACGAAAGCGUGGGGAGCA